GGCGAUCCUGGCCGAGGAUAUUGCCGACUGAUUGCCGGUCCAUCGACGCAAGCGCCCAUGGAGCGUUCCCCGUUUCAAGCACGGGGGACGCUUC
rnacentral:tRNA from 1 species